rnacentral:rRNA from 1 species
UACAGAGGUCCCAAGCGUUGUUCGGAUUCACUGGGCGUAAAGGGUGUGUAGGUGGCGCCGUAAGUCGGGUGUGAAAUUUCGGAGCUUAACUCCGAAACUGCAUUCGAUACUGCGGUGCUUGAGGACUGGAGAGGAGACUGGAAUUUACGGUGUAGCAGUGAAAUGCGUAGAUAUCGUAAGGAAGACCAGUGGCGAAGGCGGGUCUCUGGACAGUUCCUGACACUGAGACACGAAGGCCAGGGGAGCAAACGGG